GGAUUAGAUACCCUGGUAGUCCACGCAGUAAACGAUGAGUGCUAGUCGCUGGGACAUUAGUUUCAGUGUCGAAGCUAACGCAUUAAGCACUCCGCCUGGGAAGUACGGUCGCAAGAUUAAAACUCAAAUAAAUUGACGGGGGCCCGCACAAGCGGUGGAGCAUGUGGUUUAAUUCGAAGCAACGCGAAGAACCUUACCAGACCUUGACAUGGUAUGUUUAGAUUUCAGAAUCGAAAUCUUUCAGUUCGGCUGGCAUACACACAGGUGCUGCAUGGCUGUCGUCAGCUCGUGCCG
rnacentral:rRNA from 1 species